UAUUACUAGGAUUUUGAGAUGGGCUCAGAAGAGUCAGGAUUUGAUCAUUUAAAGGAAGAGGAAGGCAUUACAGACAGGCACAAAGGCACAGCAGCACAGAGGCUGAGGGAGUAGAUUUAACAAAUAAAAUAUAGGACAUCAGUGAAAUCUGAAUUAUUUAUAAUUGCCUGUGCAUAUGUACAUUGGGACAGAAAAACAUUGCAUGCACUGACUUGUACUUUUUCAUUGCUUUGUUUCAUAUGCUAAUUCAUUGCUUAUCUAAAAUAAAUUAUAAGUAUCUAAAUUACAUGCCUCUUUUAUUAUAUUUCCCUGGAGAUUUGGUGCUCCCUAAUAGUUCUUCAUUUUGCAGAAUUUGUUUAUAAAAUUCCUUGCAAUAGUCUGUUUUCCAUUUACAUUUUAUCAUGACUUCUAUAGAGGUCGAAUUCAAUUUAUUUUUUUCCUUUGGCCACCGCACAUUCACUAAUGAGAAAUCAUGCUCGACAUUAGCAUUACAAGCCAGUGUAUUGAAUAUGUAAGGGCAGAAAUUUACCAACUCUGAGAAUCACUCUUCAAAUUUGAUUGGCUGAAGCACAUGUAUCAUCUUUCAUGCAUAACUUAAUUUUCCAUUCUUCGGGAUCACAUUGCAUAUUUUGGUCAAUGACUCUUUCAAAUGUCCACUGACAAAAAGGAAGCACUGUCAUCAGUAUUUAUUUCUUCUUUUCACUACACUACACAUAGAUUACAAAUAGAACUUUCGAUGGAUGCAUGGAAACAAGUACAAUGUUUAUUCAAAGUUGAAGCAAAGCCUGAAUGAUCCUAUGAAAGAUAUUGGCUGUCCUGCCCGUGUUCUCAUAAUGCUGCUUAAAUAGCAUUGGAUGUCUUCUUUCGAGACUGAAGUCAUUAUCAUGAAAUUUUUCAUGUAGUGUAAUCAUUUAGGCUUUGCUUCGACUUUGAAUAAACAUUGUACCUGUAUGCAUAACACAUAAUGUAAUGUAGUGAAAAGAAGGAAUAAAAACUCAUGUAUUAGAUAAAAAAUAUACAUGUAAUAUAGUGUAGUGUAGAUUAUUUUCUUUCUUUUUCAUCACACCACACACGAUGAUUCCACUUGUACUCAUAUUGGCAGAGUAUUUUGUAGCAUCUGUGUAAAAAAAUUAAAUUUUUCAAAGGAUGAAAUCCAUCUUGAAAGAUGGUCAUAGCAAGUGUUGUAAUAAUUGUCCACUUUGAACUAAAAUUUAUUUUCCUGUUCAUAUGUAAUGUCCCUUUUAAGAAUAGCUUUGGUAAUUCAAAGGAUGCAUUUUUCAUCAAUUCUCCUUCAACACAUUCAACAAAUACAUUUAGCAAUGGAGUAGUACUUCCAUAACACUAUUUGCUCUUUCAAUUUGCAGAAUCUUAUUGCAAAAUUGACAUUGAAAACUAUGAGAAGUAGUCAUCAUUCAAUGGAUUUUUUUAAAAGUCAAGAAUUUUGGGGUCUCUCAUUCAUAAUUAAAGUAUAAUUUCAGUGCUUGAAAUAAAUGGAAGAUUCUCUCAACUGCAUUUGUUAGAGCCAAUGGAUUUUUGAAUGCAAGAGAAAUGAAGAAUUCUGAAUGCCAAAAAAUCAUAAAAGUCUUUAAAAUGUUCUGUUAGAAUGCUAUAAGUACUAAAGUAGGAGAACAAUUUCAUGAUAAUUACUUUGGUUUCAAUAGAAGACAUCCAAUGCUAUUUACACAGUAUUAUGAGAAUAUGGGCAGGACUACCAAUGUCUUCCACAGGAUCAUCGAAGCUUUGCUUCAACAUCAAAUAAAUGGUGUACUUGUAUGCAUACAUCCACCAAAAGUUCUAUUUGUAUUAUCUCCAACAAAAGCAGUAAAAAUUUUCUCAUUAAGUGCUAACUCAAGAGGUGCUGUAAAAAUUCGCUAUUGUUUCUGAAGUCUCACCUGGAAGAGAUUUCUACCUGCAGUUGUCUUAUUGCAAGUGUUUUUCAUGAGAAAACUAAUGCGAGCAGGGAAAGUUGUACCCGUAUUGUGAUGCUUGUAUUGUGGCUAUGCCAUAAAAAGGUAAGGCAUUUAGAUAUUUGAUAAUCUCUGUAAUAAUAACUUAAGCGAUUAUAUUUUUAAUUAGGGCAGUCGAUUUUAUUCUAGCAUUUGAAAUUGUGCUUGCAAUUUUGGAACCAGGAAAUACUUUGUUAGUAGUAUGUUCAGUUAUUUCAGCAGAAAGACUGAUAAUGAUAUAGUGUGGAAGGCCAUUACAACUUCUGUUACAACUAUUUUGUCUUCUUAAUCUGAGUUUCUCUUAAUAAAAAAAAAUUGUUAGUGUAUCACUUUUCUUAGUACUAUUGAGAAAAUCUUACAUCUCUUUUAUGUUUAGCCAUUAAUAUAUGCUAGUUUCCAUCUAAUUUUCUAUCAUUUUUAUACUAAAUGAACAAUUACAUACUGCACAAAGCACUUCAAAAGGAAUUUUUCCUUGUUCAAUAAACGUCCACUGCUCAGAAAUUUCAUCACAAAAUUUACACUUGCUUUUUGGCAAUCAGGGGUUCAAAUAUACGCAAAUAAAAAGCAGAUCAUAUAAACUGCAAGAAUGGAAGAGAUUCAUUUCGCCAAGUUCACAGCCGCUUCAGUACAUCCGUCACUCAUAAGUGCAAACUCAUACCAUAAACAAAGUCCAACUGGUAGGUUGCGUUACACUGAACCUGACAUGUAAUGCCAAAAAAAAAAAAAAAAAAAAAAAGUGAACUUCCGGUUUGCUUGCAAGAGAGAACUGUACUUGUGUGGCAAAGUCUCCCAACACCCCAGGGCUGACUUAGUGUAAGGUUUAGGGAAGCGAGGCUUGAGGCUUGCAGGGGCUGGUGGCGUUUCUGAUGCGUAAGUAUUUAGAAAUCUAAGGCCUUUCAGCUGUGUUAGCAAAUCACUAGCAAAAGCUGCCUUCGCCCCGACUUCCGGCGGCGCAGGCGCGGGAGCGAGACACUUGCUCAUUGGCUGCUGCCGAGCACCAAGGGGCCGGCGCUGAGCGCUGCCUUUCCGGCUGUUGCGGAUCUGCUUACAUUUAGGACUGCAGUUACUGCUGCGAGGCUGUCGCUGACUGGCCGAUUUUCCGAACGUGCGUAUGAUUGGAAGUUACCUCUAAUUAACAGUGGCUGCCGUGUAAGACUUGGGACUUCUGCCAAAGAGCAGUGUUUUCCUUUCCCGAAGAAGAAAAUCAGUACCCUUAAUCCUCAGUCUUCCCUUCUCCCCUCAGCCGAACCUGCAUGAAACCAGAAAGGUCUGGGGAGUAACAGAUCUACCUGUCUUGUGGCCACUGAAGACCAUGCUUCUGUCUAAUCCUUGGGUAGGAACCCACAUCUUGCAAGAUAGGUGCUCUCCUUCUGGAGAUCUUCCGGACUGCCCCACCUCACUGCUAAUCUGAUUUCGUCAGACUGUAAGCUCAUUCCUGGUGGCCUCUGGCUGAUCAAGUUUUAAAGAAACUGUCAGGGAUUGGAAUAGAGGACUGUGAUUGGCAGUCCCACCAGAACAAUGGGACGGGGGUAGGCAGUUCCCCAAAGGAAAAUGGAGUGCUGUCAUCAGGAAAAGGUGAAGGUAUUGGGCAUCCAGACCCAAUGGAUGGCUCUUGGAGUAGGUGCUCAAGUAAUGCUAGUUGUUAUUUGUGAGGUUGUGUUUUGGAGACACUACAACAAAUUACAUAAAAUUAUAGAUUAU